CCUACGGGAGGCAGCAGUGAGGAAUAUUGGUCAAUGGCCGGAAGGCUGAACCAGCCAUGCCGCGUGAAGGUCAGUGCCCUAUGGGCGUUAAACUUCUUUUGUGCGGGAGCAAUAAUGGUCACGUGUGGCCAGACGAGAGUACCGUACGCAUAAGCAUCGGCUAACACCGUGCCAGCAGCCGCGGUCAUACGGGGGAUGCAAGCGUUAUCCGGAUUUGUUGGGUUUAAACGGGGCGUAAGUUGGGAGGUAAGUCAGCGGUGAAAUGCACCGGCUCGACGGGGUGAAGUGCCAUUGAUACUGUCUUGCUGGAGUGCGGAUGCGGUGGGAGGAAUGUGUGGUGUAGCGGUGAAAUGCAUAGAUAUCACACAGAACACCGAUUGCGAAGGCAUCUCACGAAUCCGCGAUUGACGCUGAUGCACGAAAGCGUGGGUAUCAAACAGGAUUAGAUACCCGAGUAGUC
rnacentral:rRNA from 1 species